rnacentral:lncRNA from 1 species
UUUUUUAAUUAGAGGAGAGCAACAAUCCCAGUGUAAGGUGCAUGGGGAGCUGCUCGGCUUCCUGGUGGCCUGCUGGACAGACCUCCAGGGAGAUAACUGCGACUAGAACCCACACAGCAGGGUGGCUGUCGUACAGCGAUCUGAAGAAAUGAGGUGCUGUUCAGGAGGAAGCAAAAUGGUUGACCUGUAGCUGCAUCUGUAGCUCUCUCCAUCUUUGCCUGUCCCUGCUGAGAGAUGACUGCCAAGGAACAAGAACUGCAUUGUGGGUGCUAGAAAAAAAGCUGCUAAGGAAGGAGCAGUAAAAAAAGACAGCAUUAGGAAGGAGAAACAAGAAAAAGGUCCCUCUCCUCAAGACGUAAGAUGAGACCACCAAUGCAGAAAUGGAUUUUGUUAUUCAUGGUGUAAUAGACAAUAUUGGCACACAAACAACGCCUAAAAGCUUUCCUAACUAGCUAUAUGAGUAACUAUAUGAGAAUGAUUCUUCACUUUGUAGUCGGACCUCAAAGAUGCCAAUGGAUACUUGGACAUAGCUGGAAGUGCACUUCAGAAACACCUAUAAUAUCAGAGCACAGCAAUUACCCCUUUAUGACCUUCAGGUUACUGGCACUUGUUCAACGCCAAGGCAGCUAUGUUACUUCUUCCUCAUGUGUGUUGCUGCCCUCCUGCCCGAGGACCAGUGGACUGGCAUGUGGGAGCAACCCGCAGCCGUGGCAGAACGAAGGCUAAAGGCUCUUUUCAAAAUACCUUAAUUGGCAGCUUAAGAUACGUGGUAAACGCUGGAUGGCUUCACGCUGAAGUGCCUCUGGAGUAUUCACGUGUUCUGCUGCCUUUGGUGAGAAAGGGCACCUCUGGCUGACGCGCCGUAACCAGCAAGUAAGGGCGAUGAUACCUGAAAACUCACAGGCGUUUUGGCAAUGAGCUUCUUAUUACAAUCUCCUUGUAAUAUCAGGGAAAUCCACAUGCAACUCCAUGUUGAGGAGGAAAAAGGCUCCUAUUUUCAAUGCACAGGCAUUGCAAUAUAUAUUAAAAAGUGCUUUGUCUUAGUCACCCUGGAUUAGUUUUUUCUCUUCUCAUCCACCCCCUGUUUUUUUUCCUCUCAA